rnacentral:rRNA from 1 species
CUACGGGUGGCAGCAGUGAGGAAUAUUGCACAAUGGGGGGAACCCUGAUGCAGCAACGCCGCGUGGAGGAUGACGCAUUUCGGUGUGUAAACUCCUUUUAUAUGUCAAGAAAAUGACGGUAGCAUAUGAAUAAGCACCGGCUAACUCCGUGCCAGCAGCCGCGGUAAUACGGAGGGUGCAAGCGUUACUCGGAAUCACUGGGCGUAAAGGACGCGUAGGCGGGUUGGAAAGUCAGGUGUGAAAUCCUACAGCUUAACUGUAGAACUGCACUUGAAACUUCUAAUCUAGAGUAUGGGAGGGGGAGAUAGAAUUAGUGGUGUAGGGGUAACAUCCGUAGAUAUCACUAGGAAUACCUAAAGCGAAGGCGAUCUCCUGGAACAUUACUGACGCUAAGGCGUGAAAGCGUGGGGAGCAAACAGGAUUAGAUACCCCAGUAGUC